rnacentral:rRNA from 1 species
GACGAACGCUGGCGGCGUGCUUAACACAUGCAAGUCGAACGGUAAGGCCCUGCUUGCAGGGUACUCGAGUGGCGAACGGGUGAGUAACACGUGGGUGAUCUGCCCUGCACUUCGGGAUAAGCCUGGGAAACUGGGUCUAAUACCGGAUAGGAGCCAUUUUUAGUGUGAUGGUUGGAAAGUUUUUUCGGUGUAGGAUGAGCUCGCGGCCUAUCAGCUUGUUGGUGGGGUAAUGGCCUACCAAGGCGGCGACGGGUAGCCGGCCUGAGAGGGUGGACGGCCACAUUGGGACUGAGAUACGGCCCAGACUCCUACGGGAGGCAGCAGUGGGGAAUAUUGCACAAUGGGCGCAAGCCUGAUGCAGCGACGCCGCGUGGAGGAUGACGGCCUUCGGGUUGUAAACUCCUUUCGCUAGGGACGAAGCUUUUUGUGACGGUACCUAGAUAAGAAGCACCGGCUAACUACGUG